AUUUGACCUCAAAUCAAGUAGGACU
rnacentral:rRNA from 1 species